rnacentral:snoRNA from 1 species
UUCCAGUGAAGAAACACUCACACAUCUUACUUCCUGUCCUAGUCCCAGAGCCUGUAAAGGUGAGCCCAAAUGUCUCUAAUCUAUAGACAUACAGAGA